GAUGAAGAACGUAGCGAAAUGCGAUAAGUAAUGUGAAUUGCAGAAUUCAGUGAAUCAUCGAAUCUUUGAACGCACAUUGCGCCCGCCAGUAUUCUGGCGGGCAUGCCUGUUCGAGCGUCAUUUCAACCAUCAAGCCCCGGGCUUGUGUUGGGGACCUGCGGCUGCCGCAGGCCCUGAAAUGCAGUGGCGGGCUCGCUGUCACUCCGAGCGUAGUAGUUACAUCUCGCUCUGGGCGUGCUGCGGGUUCCGGCCGUUAAAUGAAAAGCCUUCGUAGCCCAAGGUUGACCUCGGAUCAGGUAGGAAGACCCGCUGAACUUAAGCAUAUAAUAAGCGGAGGA
rnacentral:misc_RNA from 1 species